rnacentral:lncRNA from 1 species
GACGAGUACAUAAUGUAGAAGUAGUGGCAAGUAGCGAAGUCUCGCCGUGGAAGAGAUAACGAUAAACCGUGAGAUUCCAAUCCUUCUUACUUUACAAAUCCUUGAUAUUAUAUAUAUUAAAAAUAAUAUGUUGUAUGAUUGCCAAUGAGACAACUCCCCUCAAGAGACCAAAUGACAAAUUAUGCCUCAUCUUAUAAAUAUAAAAAUUCUAAAAUG